CCCACGGCGCUCCAGAGACAGCAAAUUCGCAGCUUUCCGCCUGGAAGAACAAGAUUGGAGAAGGAGGACCAGGCACUCCUAGGGGGAGCCCCACCUAAUUCUGGCAUUCAACUUGCUGGUUUCUGCUACCAACCCUGGGGUGCCUGAAACACCUGACUCCAUGGCAGAGCCUGCAGACGCCAUCCUGGGACAAUUGACAGAAUGCCUGCAAGGAAAAUCUAAGACUCUUUAAAUUUUUUUUUUAACCAAGGCCAGCUCUCCCAGAUCUCUGCUUGCAGUGCCCGGGUGAGAAUGGAAGAAACACCAAGAAGAGAGCCUAAGAGAAACG